GUGAAUCAUCAAAUUUUUGAACGCAAAUUGCACUCUCUUCGGAGAGUAUGCCUGUUUGAGGGUCAGUAUAAAUAAAAAUCGGUUUGUUGCUUCUUUGUGGCGCUCCGGGGUUUGGAUCAUCUUAAUAUCCUUUAGGUUUUAAGAUGCUUAAAAUUAACUUUUUUUUCGCGUUUUAGGUGUACAUAAAUGCUUUUUUUUAUUCUUCUUUCUUGGUACUCACAAUCCUAUUAGAUGCGACCAUAUCGUGUUGGUUCGUGUCUAUAAAUUUUUCAUGAUUUGACAUCAAAUCGGGUAGAAGUC
rnacentral:misc_RNA from 1 species